rnacentral:rRNA from 1 species
AACGAACGCUGGCGGCAUGCCUAACACAUGCAAGUCGAACGAGACCUUCGGGUCUAGUGGCGCACGGGUGCGUAACGCGUGGGAACCUGCCCUUAGGUUCGGAAUAACUCCCCGAAAGGGGUGCUAAUACCGGAUAAUGUCUUCGGACCAAAGAUUUAUCGCCUUUGGAUGGGCCCGCGUUGGAUUAGCUAGUUGGUAGGGUAAAAGCCUACCAAGGCGACGAUCCAUAGCUGGUCUGAGAGGAUGAUCAGCCACACUGGGACUGAGACACGGCCCAGACUCCUACGGGAGGCAGCAGUAGGGAAUAUUGGACAAUGGGCGAAAGCCUGAUCCAGCAAUGCCGCGUGAGUGAUGAAGGCCUUAGGGUUGUAAAGCUCUUUUACCCGGGAUGAUAAUGACAUUACCGGGAGAAUAAGCUCCGGCUAACUCCGUG